UGCAUCUAGAUUGCGGAUCCGCGGCCGCAGAGGUUUGAUCCUGGCUCAGGUUGAACGCUAGCGGGAUGCCUUACACAUGCAAGUCGAACGGCAGCGGGAAGAAAGCUUGCUUUCUUUGCCGGCGAGUGGCGAACGGGUGAGUAAUGUAUCGGAACGUGCCCAGUAGCGGGGGAUAACUGGCCGAAAGGUCAGCUAAUACCGCAUACGCCCUACGGGGGAAAGGGGGGGACUCUUCGGAGCCUCUCACUAUUGGAGCGGCCGAUAUCGGAUUAGCUAGUUGGUGGGGCAAUGGCUCACCAAGGCAACGAUCCGUAGCCGGUUUGAGAGGACGACCAGCCACACUGGGACUGAGACACGGCCCAGACUCCUACGGGAGGCAGCAGUGGGGAAUUUUGGACAAUGGGGGGAACCCUGAUCCAGCCAUCCUGCGUGUGCGAUGGAGGCCUUCGGGUUGUAAAGCACUUUUGUCAGGGAAGAAAAGGUUCUGGCUAAUAUCCGGAACUGAUGACGGUACCUGAAGAAUAAGCACCGGCUAACUACGUGCCAGCAGCCGCGGUAAUACGUAGGGUGCAAGCGUUAAUCGGAAUUACUGGGCGUAAAGCGUGUGUAGCGGUUCGGAAAGAAAGAUGUGAAAUCCCAGGGCUCAACCUUGGAACUGCAUUUUUAACUGCCGAGCUAGAGUAUGUCAGAGGGGGGUAGAAUUCCACGUGUAGCAGUGAAAUGCGUAGAUAUGUGGAGGAAUACCGAUGGCGAAGCAGCCCCCUGGGAUAAUACUGACGCUCAGACACGAAAGCGUGGGG
rnacentral:rRNA from 1 species